rnacentral:rRNA from 1 species
GACGAACGCUGGCGGCAGGCUUAACACAUGCAAGUCGAACGCCCCGCAAGGGGAGUGGCAGACGGGUGAGUAACACGUGGGAACAUGCCCAAAGGUACGGAAUAUCCUCGGGAAACUGGGAGCAAUACCGUAUGUGCCCGAAAGGGGAAAGAUUUAUCGCCUUUGGAUUGGCCCGCGUUGGAUUAGCUAGUUGGUGGGGUAAAAGCCUACCAAGGCGACGAUCCAUAGCUGGUCUGAGAGGACGACCAGCCACACUGGGACUGAGACACGGCCCAGACUCCUACGGGAGGCAGCAGUGGGGAAUCUUGGACAAUGGGCGCAAGCCUGAUCCAGCCAUGCCGCGUGAGUGAUGAAGGCCCUAGGGUUGUAAAAACUCUUUCGUGGGGGACGGAUAAUGACGGUACCCCAAGAAGAAGACUCCGGCUAACUUCGUG